AAAAGAAACACUACAUAUUAAUCAUAAUAACACCGCUAACUUAGGGAUUUUUUCGUUUUAUUGAAGUUGUUGCUGCAGCAUGAAAUGUAAAAUAUGGGUCUCCUAUAAGUUCUUGCAGUUGUAUAUGGUCCUUGAUAAAUUUAUACUGUAUAGUGCUGAUAAAGUUACAAACUUUGCCAGCAGUAACUAAAACUAAGUAUUACUCUGAUCUAGAAUCCCAUAAUGGUUUGGCAAAUCUCUCUCCAACUCAACCUUUGUGUUUGGGGAGCAUAAAUUCUUCUCUGUAGAAAGUUUCUAUUCUUUUGAGUGAGAUGUAAUUACCAAGAGGGGCUUGUUAUAACUGAUUGGAAAUCGAAGGUUCUUAUAUACUUAAUUUGGUAAGUUUGCUUGCUUCAUGGUCACCUACAUGUUCUACCUUUCUUGUUUUUCUAGAUGGGAAGGCACUUUGUGAAUAAACCGCAAUCCCUGCUACUCAUCAAAUACACUAUAGAUCGUGUUGUGUGCUACUAUCAUUCAAGUCGCUCAUGUUUUGAAUCUGUAUAGUUUAACAGCUUGGUUAAGUAAAGAGUUGUCUGUUGAUUAACUUUUUUGGUCUUGAAUGGUAAGAUCUAUCCAAGGUAAGAUGUGACCAAGAAUAGAUUUACAUGUAUAAAAUGAACAUUUUCUUAGCAACAUGUAAUCAUUUUGGACAUGAGGCGACUACAUAAUGUGCUUGAUAAGAGAAUUGAAGCUGUGUUGGAAAUGAUGCUUCAUAUGGAUAUGUAGAAGUCCUUAGCAACCUUCUUGGCUUUGCUAUAUUUGUUUGACUGUCUGAGAUGCAUACUUUGUACGCACAACUAUACAUUGCCCCACUUAUCAAAAAAAACAA